GGAGGGGAGAGCUCAGUGGUAGAGCGCAUGCCUAGCUUGCAUGAGGUCCUGGGUUCAAUCCCCAGUACCUCCU
rfam:Camelus ferus unplaced genomic scaffold scaffold70, whole genome shotgun sequence.